GCCGAGAUGGCCGACGUGGUGAAGGCGCGUGUCUGAAAAACACGUAAUGUCAGUUCGAUUCUGACUCUCGGCACAA
rnacentral:tRNA from 1 species